rnacentral:rRNA from 1 species
GACGAACGCUGGCGGCGUGCUUAACACAUGCAAGUCGAGCGGAGCGGCGCACGGGUGAGUAACGCGUGAGUAACUGCCCCCCUCUCUGUGAUAACAGUUGGAAACGGCUGCUAAUACCGGAUAGUUGGGGAUGACUCGCGUCCUAUCAGCUUGUUGGUGGGGUAGUGGCCUACGAAGGCGACGACGGGUAGCCGGCCUGGGAGGGCGACCGGCCACAUUGGGCUGAGAUAGGGCCCAAUCGGCUACGGGACGCAGCAGGGGGGAAGAUGGCGCAAGGGGGGAAACCCUGAGGCAGCAACGCCGCGGGCGGAAGGACGGCCUGGGGGGUGGAAACCGCUUUCAGCCAUGACGCGGUAGUGGCAGAAGAAGCACCGGCUAACUACGUGCCAGCAGCCGCGGUAAUAC